rnacentral:rRNA from 1 species
AGAGUUUGAUCAUGGCUCAGAUUGAACGCUGGCGGCAUGCCUUACACAUGCAAGUCGAGCGGCAGCGCGGGGGCAACCCUGGCGGCGAGCGGCGAACGGGUGAGUAGUGCAUCGGAACGUGUCCUCUUGUGGGGGAUAACCAGUCGAAAGACUGGCUAAUACCGCAUGAGCUCGAGAGAGGAAAGCGGGGGACCGCAAGGCCUCGCGCGAGAGGAGCGGCCGAUGCCGGAUUAGCUAGUUGGUGGGGUAAAAGCCUACCAAGGCGACGAUCCGUAGCUGGUCUGAGAGGACGACCAGCCACACUGGGACUGAGACACGGCCCAGACUCCUACGGGAGGCAGCAGUGGGGAAUUUUGGACAAUGGGGGCAACCCUGAUCCAGCCAUGCCGCGUGUGUGAAGAAGGCCUUCGGGUUGUAAAGCACUUUCGGACGGAACGAAAUCGCGCGGGUUAACAGCCCGCGUGGAUGACGGUACCGUAAGAAGAAGCACCGGCUAACUACGUGCCAGCAGCCGCGGUAAUACGUAGGGUGCGAGCGUUAAUCGGAAUUACUGGGCGUAAAGUGUGCGUAGGCGGCGUCGCAAGUCGAGUGUGAAAGCCCCGGGCUUAACUUGGGAAUUGCGCUCGAAACUACGGUGCUCGAGUGUGGCAGAGGGAGGUGGAAUUCCACGUGUAGCGGUGAAAUGCGUAGAGAUGUGGAG